CCCUUAGAUGUUCUGGGCUGCACGCGUGCUACACUGAUUACUUCAACAAGUGUUUUAACUGGAGAGUUUGCGUAAUCCUGAAAUGUUAUCGUGAUGGGAGUAGAGUAUUGUAUUUGUUAAUCUUUAACGAGGAAUUCCUAGUAAGUGUAGGUUUAUAAGUUGUUCUGAUUACGUCCCUGCCCUUUGUACACACCGCCCGUCGCUCCUACCGAUUGAUUGAUCCGGUGAAUUACAUAGAAUUUUGCGUUUUACAUGACGGAAGAUGAAGUGUUUUAAACCUUAUCAUUUAGAGGGAGGAGAAGUCGUAACA
rnacentral:rRNA from 1 species